GAUGAACGCUGGCGGCGUGCCUAAUACAUGCAAGUCGAGCGAACGGACGAGAAGCUUGCUUCUCUGAUGUUAGCGGCGGACGGGUGAGUAACACGUGGAUAACCUACCUAUAAGACUGGGAUAACUUCGGGAAACCGGAGCUAAUACCGGAUAAUAUUUUGAACCGCAUGGUUCAAAAGUGAAAGACGGUCUUGCUGUCACUUAUAGAUGGAUCCGCGCUGCAUUAGCUAGUUGGUAAGGUAACGGCUUACCAAGGCAACGAUGCAUAGCCGACCUGAGAGGGUGAUCGGCCACACUGGAACUGAGACACGGUCCAGACUCCUACGGGAGGCAGCAGUAGGGAAUCUUCCGCAAUGGGCGAAAUCCUGACGGAGCAACGCCGGGUGAGUGAUGAAGGUCUUCGGAUCGUAAAACUCUGUUAUUAGGGAAGAACAUAUGUGUAAGUAACUGUGCACAUCUUGACGGUACCUAAUCAGAAAGCCACGGCUAACUACGUG
rnacentral:rRNA from 1 species